rnacentral:rRNA from 1 species
GAUGAACGCUGGCGGCGUGCCUAAUACAUGCAAGUCGAGCGAACAGACGAGGAGCUUGCUCCUCUGACGUUAGCGGCGGACGGGUGAGUAACACGUGGAUAACCUACCUAUAAGACUGGGAUAACUUCGGGAAACCGGAGCUAAUACCGGAUAAUAUAUUGAACCGCAUGGUUCAAUAGUGAAAGACGGUUUUGCUGUCACUUAUAGAUGGAUCCGCGCCGCAUUAGCUAGUUGGUAAGGUAACGGCUUACCAAGGCAACGAUGCGUAGCCGACCUGAGAGGGUGAGCGGCCACACUGGAACGGAGACACGGCCCAGACCCCUACGGGAGGCAGCAGUAGGGAAUCUUCCGCAAUGGGCGAAAGCCUGACGGAGCAACGCCGCGUGAGGGAUGAAGGUCUUCGGAUCGUAAAACUCUGUUAUUAGGGAAGAACAAAUGUGUAAGUAACUAUGCACGUCUUGACGGUACCUAAUCAGAAAGCCACGGCUAACUACGUG